UUUGGUUUUAUUGACCUUUCUUUUAGUUGAUACAAUCAUUUUAAACAUGCCAGGUUAUUAUAGUUUAACACUGGGUGGGUCAACUGGAAAAAUGUCCAACAUUUUUGUAGAAGUUGUGGGUAAAUUAGGUCUGAAGAGGAUGGAUCAGAAGUAUGGUGUGGGGUCUCUCUUGUUGGUCAGUUCCACAUGGACGUGUGAAGUGAUUCCAGGGUAAACUCUCUGCAUGGGCAGCAUGACGCCGAUCCUCUGGCCCUUCGUCACUGCUCCAGAUGAUUUGUCCGGCCUCACGC